GGAAGUAAAAGUCGUAACAAGGUAUCUGUAGGUGAACCUGCAGAUGGAUCAUUUCGAUGAAAACCUUUUUUCUGAGGUGUGGCUCGCACCUGUCUAACUAAACUUGAGCUACCCAAUUUCAACACGGUUGCAUCGGUUGGCUGUCAAACAGUGCCUCGGCGCUGGGAGGCGGUCGACACACAACACAAACACUUUUGAUGAUCUAGGAUUUUGAAUGAAGUUCAUUUUUAUGAUGGAACCGACUGGUAAUGCGGUCGUCUAAAUCUAAAAACAACUUUUGGCAACGGAUCUCUUGGUUCUCCCAUCGAUGAAGAACGCAGCGAAUUGCGAUAAGUAAUGUGAAUUGCAGAAGUGAAUCAUCGAAUCUUUGAACGCACCUUGCGCUCCCGGCAGAUCUAAUCUGGGGAGCAUGCCUGUUUGAGGGCCGCGAAUUGUUUCGAACGACAGCUUUUUUCUUUGUGAAAAAGUUGGCGGAUCGGUAUUGAGGGUCUUGCCAUUUACCAUGGCUCCCUCGAAAUGCAUUAGCGCAUCCAUUUGAUAGGCAAGACGGACGAAAGCUCGAUUUUCGCCCUCUCUUCCCUGCCGGGUUUUGAUAAUAUCAGGACUUCGGAGGCGGAGAAAGGGUUAGAGCUGGACGCAACGUUUUGCUGUUUGGAGUGCUUCUGAAACCCGCCCAUGCCUCUUUCUUCGGAAAAGGAAGGGAUUUUUUCAAUUCAUUGGCCUCAGAUUGGUAGGACUACCCGCUGAACUUAAGCAUAUCAAUAAGCGGAGGA
rnacentral:rRNA from 1 species